rnacentral:ncRNA from 1 species
UUGCUGUAUGAAAGAAGAGAAGGUUAGCACUUUCCCUUGACAAGGAUGGUAGAAGCCCUUGGGCCUUACAACACGCAUAACAGUUAAGGCAUUGCCACCAUUUUUUGGAAAACCCUGGUGGCAUAAUAGUUAAGUGCUACG